GUAUACUAGUUGAGGGCAUAUGAAGUGCACAUGACAGUCUAUGGCCCCGGCAGUUACUAUCAUUCCUUCUCCUGCAAUAACCUCUGUGUUAACCUGAGAAAGAAUGAGAAGGCGUGACACGCGUGAGUAUAAAUAUAGGGGUACUACACUCAUUAACUGCUAGAGAGUGGAACUCACCCCAAUUAUCAGAUUGGGGUGUACAUCAUGCAUGGUAUCUGGAUUGCCUGUUUUUCCAAGGUCAGCAAUAAGACCAUCUUUAAUACCAAUAUCUGCCUUAAAGAUUCCACUAUAAUCAAUGAUUACAGCAUUUGUUAUAACUGUAUCUAGAGAGUCAGAUGGUGGAUGUCCUCAUGCCUGGCCCAUUCCUUCUCUUAU
rfam:Cephalotus follicularis DNA, scaffold: scaffold5413, isolate: St1.